CAGACUGACAGUAAGCAGCAGGCUGGAGCUGGCUGCAGGACUGAGCCCAGUGGCUCUGUGAGCUCAGACUAGCAUUUCCAGCUCUCUUGAUCCUGGAAGAAAAUAACUUCACUUGAAAAUAUGAAGCCUCAAGGGUCCAAAUAAGAAAACAGAUGAAAAAUACUCCAAAUACUUUUGGCCUUUCGUGAGCAAACUUUGGGCCCAAGAAGGUUUGUGCUGAGCUCUCAAACUUAUGCUGUUCAAAUGGUUUGAAAUAUUGAGUGAAGAAUGUUCAUCUUUCAUUAACUGGAGUAAAGCUCCAAAGAGACAACCUCAAAACAUUCUGAGAAUCUGCCCUGGGGGAAGGAACUCUCCAAACCUCCUGUUAAGAUCCCACCACAGCACCUCAUUGCAGCGAGUGCCCAGGAGUAGGACCAGUCACGGUGGAAGCCACAGGGGAGAUUUCUGUAGAUCAGAUGGGAAAUCACUGGAUGCCCUCAGGACUGCUGUCCAGGUUGUUUGUUGUCACCUCCACUGUAGUGUCAGUGCCAGUGUGCAGCAGAGGGGGACCUCAUCUCUGAACCAUGCUGGGUUAGGAGGUGGGAGCCAGCACUUUCUUCCAGCAGAUACCAUCCAACCUUGACCUCCACCAUGCAGAUCUGCAGUGAAGGAGGGGCUGAGGCUGCACACCCACACCAAAAUGCUUUUGACAUUUGGAGAUCUGCAGGAGUGGGUCACUACUCUGGCCAGCUUGCUAUUGUCUACCAUGGCUGUUGCAAGACUCAAAGAGAGUAAGUGUGGCUAAAGGAAAGCAGGAUAACUCCUUCCUUUUCCAGAGGCUUCCCCUGUGGCUCAGUCCUUCACUCCUCUAAUUCUCUUUUGGACUUCAGCUCCUUCCCAGUAAAACUGGCAGAAUUCAUGGCGGGGGGGUCAUGUAUCAGCAGCAUGGGAUGUGUAACUAUUUCAUAAAUGAUGGAACAGUGUUAAAACCCAGAAAGAAGGAAGUCGGAAUCUUCCAGAAAUGUCAGGCUUUGCGACAGACUUUACAUUCUUCUCGUUUUUUACAAGCAACCAGGGUGCCUCUGUCCAAACGCUUUCCUCUUACCAGCAAAAAUGUUGUUUCAUAGAAAGUCUCAUUUUUCAUAGCCUUUUGGAUACCCUCAUUUGCCAGAAUGACCCCACAGAAGUGAUAGCUCGUUUCCAGAAGCCUUUGAAAAGUGCAGUAAAGGGCCAUGCCUGUGUGUUCAGGUGUGUCUGUCUCAUGGUUGUCCUGGAGCAAAGGGGCAGCAGUGUUCUGGUUUGCUCCACACCUGGCAAGUUGUGCUCACUGAUGGAGCCCUGGGCUGCUCCUCCAAGGUUGUGCUAUUAUAAUAUUUGUUAUUUUCUCCCCCUUUCACACUCUGUGGUUCCUGGGGGGGCAGCAUCCCAAGCCUGGAUGCUUUUAAGCAGCGCUGUGUGAGACACAGCCACAUUCCUUAGCUGUAAGUCUUUAGAAUCACCCACCAGCUCUCCAAAACAAGUUCAGAGCACAACUUGCAGCCACACAGAUGACGCACUUCUUCAGGCCCAGAGGUAAAACCUACAGUAUUAACAGCACAAUGGAUAGGUGGUACCCACAUUCCACUGGCAUUUCUCCCUGCCAGUGUCCAGCUAUUGCAUUCCUCAGCCCUAACAGCAGCUUUCUUGAAUUUCUUGUACUGCAAAAGACGGAGAAAUCCAUGUGAGACAAGUAUCUGAUGCUUCCCAGUUCUUCCAUUGCUAUUUAUUGAGUAUACUAAAAUUAAUGAAAACCAAAGACACUUGAAUAGAGUGCAGAACGUCAUAAAGUUCAGAAAAUGAAAAUUGAAAUGAGGUUCUUUCAGAAGGCCAUUUGUAUAUCAUUAAAAUUUCUGCCCACUCAGAAACGGGAAGGAAGCAAAACUUUAAAGCUUCUGGUGUAAAUUUGCAAUGGUGAGAAAAGUAUGUCCUUGACAAAUAGCCAGGAGGACAAGCUACUGCCAUGAUCAAGCUAUUCAGGAUCAGGAGUUCCACUGAAUGGUAUAGCUACUGAAAAAUAGAAAGGAUGCAGAAUGAGGCUGCACAAAUGAUUUCAAAGAUGGAAAAUAUGCCUUGAUGGUGUGAAACACCGAUCUAUCUCCAUCUCCAUGUCAAAAGGGGAUGGGGAAAGUUUAAUAAUAUACAACCCAUCUGUGCAGAGAGAUGGGUGAGGUGUUCAGAAGUGCUUUGGCAAGGCUGGUCAGAGCCCUUGUUUCAGCAAGAAAUGUCUGUCUGGUUUUUACAUCAGCAAGUUCAAUUUCUGUUCAUUUUUCUAAAUGAAAGUAUUUUGAAAAAUAUCUUUUUUAAUAUCCCAAGUGAAUUUUUUCUGUAUUAGUUAAGGACAAAUGAUAAUGCAAACAACAGUGCAAAAACUUUUAAAGUAGCUAGAACUGCAAUAAAGUUGACUCACAAAUAUAUUGGUAUAUCAACUUUUUGUCCAGAUGCCAGGAUUAAAAAAAAAUAACUUUGAGGAAUGUAGCGUGCCAGGCAAUGCCGCUCAGUUACGAAGCAGAGAAAAGUGUAAAGCUGAUGGCUACAUGUGAAGCCAAACAAAAGAGGAUUAGGAAUGAAGCACAUUUUUAAAUUAAUGCGAGCUUCGAAAUCAAGUGAUUUGAUGAGUCUCCAACUUGUGAUGUGUUCAUAUUCCCGUAUAUUGGUAUGUCCGGAGCUGGAUGCUUUUCUGGAAGAUGCAGCAAAACUACUGGGCUCGGUGCUGGGCUAAUUGACUGCAAGUGAAUGGCUUUGAAAUAUAGGAAGUCAUACCAGAUGUUCUCAUGGUUCCUUCUGGCCUUGAACCCUGUGAUUCUAUGAAUGAGUUUCUGAAUCUGCGAAAUGCGAAGUCCUGAGAAUACAAACAUAUGAGUAGAGUUAUACUUCUGGCCUCCACAUCAGAAGAAAGAUAUUGAAUGUGCAUUGUUGCGAUAAAUCAAAGAAGCAGCUAAAUCAGAGCUGUAAUAAAAGUCAACUGCAGAUCUUUGUGCAGAAAUUGGUCAUAUGUCAUGUGAGGACAAGGUUUGGAGAUGAGAUUUCUCAACAUCUGAAACGACUUCUUCUGGAAGCAGCCCAUUCCAAGCACUGUGGUGGAGAUCCUCCUCCAGACUUGCUCUUCUGUGCCACACAGGAGCUUGUUUGACAAGUGACGAUCAGUGAGGCACUGAAUGCUGCUGACCACAGUGUAAUUGAGAAGAGCAUCCCUGCCACGAAAACCAGCAGUGAGACAUUCAACUCAAGAGAAAGGGGUUUUGUUUUGCUGGGCUUCCUUAAAGGGAAGCGUGUCAAAACUGAGGAAACUGAAAUCCGUACUCAGCAAGAAAGCUUACUCAGCCAUGGUCUGAGCACUGUCACAUCAACCAUGUAUCCACCCACUCCCCUGCUCUGAAAAAAGGAAGAAGAACAGCAACAACAACAACAAAACUCAGAAGAAUUAUGAUACUUCUGUGUCAUUUAAUAAGAUAUCUAAGUAAUCUGAUUCAUUCUGGGAGGUAAUCCUCUGUAUGCCCCAUAACUGGAUUCAGAUUACAUGAGUGUGAGUAUCACCACUGAAAUUCCUUCUUGCCAGGCUCUGAGCAUCUCCAGUUUCCUGCCCUCACCAUCUCUCUUGGCUAUGCCUCUGGCUCUAGCUGGAGAAGGCAGCAGAGUGGGCAGGACCCUCCUGGGACCCAACAUGUCUCAUCAGCACAACACGGGGUGCUUCCUAUGACGCAUGGUUGACCACUGUGAUGCAAAUCUCCCUCCUUCAUGCACGGAAGGUUCUGGACCCUUGCACCACGAGCCCACUGCUUUAAAGAAAACCUUUGAGAAACAGACACUUGGUUUGAAUGAAACGCUCAGAAAAAGACCAUGUGCUGCCAAAACUCUCCGGUGAGGCACCCUUGUUAUAUAACACCAGGCUACAUGUGUCGUGCAAAGUGCUGUCUGUCAUCUGCAGAGGGCCCGCUGAUGCUCCAGCGUCGCCACCAAUGUCACGCAAGGCUGGGUGAAGCAAGGAGCGCGGCGAUGUCACCAGGAAACACAUAAUGCCAAUGACAGUGGAACUAAUGCCCAGGCGGCCAUCCCUACAUUAUUCAACACUUGCAAUUGCUCGCUGGUUUAAGUGGCUAUAUGAUGUAAUAAUACAUAAAUACUGUAAUGAAGGGGUUAUUUAUAGCCAUCCUCAGUGUAACUGGUGAGAGUAUUAAUGCAUUUUUCCCACGCUAUGCUCACUGACCGCAGCCGCGCAACCCAUUUUCAAGGGACUGUGUCAAAAGAGUGUUUAAGCCAUUCCUCAGUCAGAGGAACAGGUGAGCAGCUAAGGCAUCAAGGCAAGUAAUCAGCUUUAAAUAUGGGAAUGAAAAAAAAAAACCAAAACCAAAAACAAAGCAAAGAAGUGUGGGUGAAGAGAGGACAUACCUCAAUUGGAAAGAGAGGGUUAAAGUGUCUCUGAAGCUGGCAACAGCUUUCCAGCCUUGGGACCAAUGGGCUUCCUGGAGAAAAAGAUACUUGACCUAGCUCUCAUUUAAGACAUGGGAACUGAUGGAGGGAGCAGGGGGAGUGAUCCAAAACCUUGGACCGAAAGCAGCUUCAAGUCUUAGAAAUACGGAGUGAUGCCAUUCACACUACCAGAGUUGCUCUCAAUUUCAGUGUUGGCCUUAAUUGAGCUUGCAUUCCUGUAUAAUCUUUCACAUCCUUUAACUUUCCAAACCA